ensembl:lncRNA
AUGACAGACUACUUCAGUAGUGCCAGAGUUGUGAGACCAGGCCUUGAGCCUUUCUCCAUAGCUUUUAGGCUAUCUCAAGAAAUGCCAGAAAAUGAGACUCUGUCAAAGGCAAACCUCCAGGGCACAUGGCUGGAUAGAUGCUCAUUGCUGCAGAAAAGCUCAGAGACCUAUUUAGAUGGACCGGUUAUAAGGUUGAGGCAGAAGCCAAGUCUGAGGGCGGAAAUAGACCAAACAAUGUAUCCAUGUGUGCCAGAAGAGGAGGCUCCUCAGGAGGUGGCCAAUGGACAGGCUUCACAACAGCAGGAAGCUGAGGAUGACUCAGCAGAGCACUUGUGCUCCAGACAUGGCAAAAGAAUGAAGAGCAUCCUUCUGGAAUGUUCUGAGGAGCUUCAGGCUCAGGAUAGGUACACUCCUGUUACACAGGCAGAAUGUACUCCUCUGGCGCCUCCCACACCUCUUCUCCAGUCCACGCCACACAGGCUGACACAGGCCUCUGCAUCUAUAUUCCCAGACUCGUCAUCUAAAAACAUAUCCUUUUCUUCACACCCAGACUCCCCCACCACAAAUCUCUCAGGGGCUGAAGCCAAUCAGGCCAGCCUUUCACAAGCAUCCUUACCAGACCUGGGUUCUUCCUCGGUGCAGCAAAAUACUUCUAGAACAUCCCCAGUCCCACAGCCCAAUGUGUCAUCAGCAUUGUCGUUUUCACCCUGUCAGGUCUCUCCAUCUUCAGCAAUUUCAAGCCCACAAAUCCCAGCUUCUGUACAGUCUUCAUCUUCAGCCUGCCCUUCAGUAAUUCCAGCGAAGCAGAUCACAGCCCAUCACAUCUCACCUUCAGCAACGUCUCAGUCCUCAGUCUAUCCUCAGUCUUCCUCCUCGACAUUUUCCUUCCAUCACAUCGGUUCACCACCAUCCUUAGGUCCUGAGCCCUGCUCAUCAUCGUCCUCUUUCUCAGGUUCAUUGGCAGCAGCCAGCGCAGAACAGGCACGAGGUGCAGUGCUUCAUUCUUCGGACAUGGCCAUUGUCUCGGAGCCGAGCCGAGUCUUGGUUGGGGAGCUGAAGCUGUCCUCUGAGACACAGGCCAUCCUCCUGUUGUGCAGAUGGUUGCAGCCACACGUGCGACUCUGUAGACUAAGCCAAGAGGAGUGCGCCUCAGUCUUGUUAGCAAGGACAGCCAUGGGCCAGGUGUCCAACCUGCGUGAGCUGGACAUAGAGGAGGAAGAAGGGGAGGAAAAUGUGUCGUUUGAUAUGAAUUUACUGUAUUCGGACUCUUACUCUGAAUCGGACACGCAUGACUCAGAUGAUCCGGAUUAUGUUCCAUCCAAGAGACUCAAGGCAUAG